rfam:Triticum urartu cultivar G1812 contig1070546, whole genome shotgun sequence.
UAUAUACUCCCUCCGUCCCAAAAUUCUUGUCUUAGAUUUCGUCUAGAUACGGAUGUAUUUAAUACUAAAACAUGGCUUGAAACAUACGUAUUUAGACAAAUCUAAGACAAGAAUUUUGGGAUAGAGGGAGUAUAUA